rnacentral:ncRNA from 1 species
UGAAAGUUUGAUUCUAGCUCUCAAUUUGAAUUUGAAAUUAUUUUACAUAUAUAUAUUUAUGAAAUAUUAAGAUUCUAAAUGAUUAUUUCAUAACGUAGUACUUAAUAUUAUAUAUUAAUAUAUUUAGAUAUAGUAAUUUUCUAAUGGAUGGACAAAAUUCGUGCCAGCAGUUGCGGUUAUACGAUUCAUUCAAUUUAAAUAUAAAAGUUUCAGUUAUAAUUAAUUUUGAUUACAAAUUUUAUAAAUUUUGGUGAAAUAUAUUUUAAUUAAUAAUUCAUAACUUAUAUCUGAGAAAUUCUUACAUUAAACUAGGAUUAGAUACCCUAUUAUUAAGAAUAUAAAAUUUAUAACUUGAUUAUUAUUAGUUAAGAUCUUUAAAUUCAAAGAAUUUGGCGGUAAUUUAUAUUUUUAGAGGAACCUGUCCUAUAAUCGAUAGUCCACGAUAUAUUAUACUUUAUAUUGACUUGUAUAUCUCUGUCAAGAAUGUUCUAUAAGGAGAUUUUCAACCAUUUUAUUAUUAUAAUGUCAGGUCAAGGUGCAGUUUAUUAUAAAGAAGAGAUGGGUUACAUUUUAACAUAAAUGGAUAAUAUUUUAUUAUAAAAUAUGAUGAAAUUGGAUUUAAUAGUAAAUUUAAUUGAUUAAUUAAAUUGAAAGAAGCUCUAAGUUAUGCACACAUCGCCCGUCACUCUCACUUUAAAGUGAGAUAAGUCGUAACAAAGUAGUUGUACCGGAAGGUGUGGCUAGAAUGA